rnacentral:tRNA from 1 species
GGGGUCAUAGCUCAGUGGUAGAGCAGGGGAUUGCAGAUCCCAAGGUCCCGUGUUCAAACCACGGUGGUCCCU